UACGAGCUGAGGGAUCUGGGUCACCUCCCACCCGUGUUUAUUUUACCUUGUUGCUUCGGCGGGCCCGCCUUAACUGGCCGCCGGGGGGCUUACGCCCCCGGGCCCGCGCCCGCCGAAGACACCCUCGAACUCUGUCUGAAGAUUGAAGUCUGAGUGAAAAUAUAAAUUAUUUAAAACUUUCAACAACGGAUCUCUUGGUUCCGGCAUCGAUGAAGAACGCAGCGAAAUGCGAUACGUAAUGUGAAUUGCAAAUUCAGUGAAUCAUCGAGUCUUUGAACGCACAUUGCGCCCCCUGGUAUUCCGGGGGGCAUGCCUGUCCGAGCGUCAUUGCUGCCCUCAAGCCCGGCUUGUGUGUUGGGCCCCGUCCCCCGAUCUCCGGGGGACGGGCCCGAAAGGCAGCGGCGGCACCGCGUCCGGUCCUCGAGCGUAUGGGGCUUUGUCACCCGCUCUGUAGGCCCGGCCGGCGCUUGCCGAUCAACCCAAAUUUUUAUCCAGGUUGACCUCGGAUCAGGUAGGGAUACCCGCUGAACUUAAGCAUAUCA
rnacentral:rRNA from 1 species